UUUACGAUUCAAUUACGACGAAAUAUUUUCGUGUUCUUUAUGUUUUUACUACGACGAAUAUAUUUAGAGGUUUUUGCGGGUCUUUUACGACGAAUCCUUUUCGAGUUUAUUACGAGGAAGCACAACGACCGCGUUACGUGGAAAGCCCACGUGGUCUUUACGAGGAAAACUUAAUUCUUCUUUACGAGGAAAAUAUAACCUCGCUAAUGGACGAGGAAAUGGCGACGAAUCUUCUCUUACGACAAACGUAUAACGACGAAAUGCCUUUUAUCGCCAUUUCCUCGUAACUCUUCUUUUACGAGGAAAUAACGACGAUUUUGGCCGUCGUUAAAUUUGUGUUUUCUUGUAGUGAAUCCGUUGCAAACGUAACUUGAAAUUGACGUAAGUUCCUCAUACAUUCCAGUGCCCAUAGUAGUGCUUCUAUCUCCACAUGAAGAGGAAAGAGACUAGCCCGAACAUUCCUCGCCCCCAUCAGCCCAUCAAGUUCUUCUAAAGUGCUGAGUCAACCCUGUCCGGAGAAAAUAUCAUUCUCUUUCCAGGAACCAUAUGUGAAACACCAUCUUCCGGGAAUUGACGGUAAAGUCGUAACCUCUACGUGUGGUACUGUCCUCUGUUCGUUCAAUAUAUGUGUCUUAGCCCAGAGUGUUGAUUCUGUUUCUGUCAAUUUAAGCGUGUCCCUAGGAUCAAUAUCCAGAUUACUAAAAACUUUAUUAUUUAUUCCUUUCCAAAUGUACCAUACUCAUUCUUACUAUUAUAAUAGCUAAAUAUAAAUGAGUUAAAAUCAUUAAAUAAAUUAAAAAAACUAGAGAUUGUGAUUUUGGUCAAAAUAGAUCCUUUUAUAUCGGAAUCUGAAAAUAUACAUAGCUUAAAUUAGACAUAUUUUAAUUUGUGAUUCAUCUAUAAAUGUACUUCUCUGACUUUUUAACUUUUAAAACACCAUUAUUUCAUUAUCAAAGAUGAAAGUUGCUUUCAAACAUAGGUUUAUUGGUUUCGUUAUCCUCACAGUUCUUCUGCUUGGAGAAACGACAAUUGCUCAGAAAGGAAAAGGUGUUAACCAAUGUAAUGAAACAUUACAAAACAAAAAAGGAACAUGUGAUGCCAACCAAUGUAAAGCCGCAUGUACCAAAAAACAUAAAGUAGGGCAAGGUAUGUGCACAAA